CACAUACUCCCUCUGUCCGGAAUUAUUUGUCGUAGAAAUGGAUGUAUCUAGACAUAUUUUUAGUUCUAGAUACAUCCAUUUCUGUGACAAGUAAUUCGGGAUGGAGGGAGUAUUUG
rfam:Triticum aestivum genome assembly, contig: Triticum_aestivum_CS42_TGACv1_scaffold_570109_7AS